rnacentral:misc_RNA from 1 species
AGCAGCCGCGGUGAUUCCAGCUCCAAUAGCGUAUAUUAAAGUUGUUGCAGUUAAAAGCUCGUAGUUGAACUUCGGGGUUCACCCAUUGGUCAGGCUUAAUUGUCUGUACUGGUGAGAUGAGUCUCUACCUUCUGAGGAACUUUCAUGCCAUUUAUUUGGUGUGGUGGGAAAUCAGGACUGUUACUUUGAAAAAUUAGAGUGUUUAAAGCAGGCUAACGUCUGAAUACAUUAGCAUGGAAUAAUGAAAUAGGACGGAUUGGUUCUAUUUCGUUGGUUUCUAGGGUCACCGUAAUGAUUAAUAGGGAUAGUUGGGGGCAUUAGUAUUCAAUUGUCAGAGGUGAAAUUCUUGGAUUUAUUGAAGACUAACUACUGCGAAAGCAUUUGCCAAGGAUGUUUUCAUUAAUCAAGAGCGAAAGUUAGGGGAUCGAAGACGAUCAGAUACCGUCGUAGUCUUAACCAUAAACUAUGCCGACUAGGGGUCGGACGCAGUUAAUUUUAUAAUGACGUGUUCGGCACCUUA